rnacentral:rRNA from 1 species
GAUGAACGCUGGCGGCGUGCCUAAUACAUGCAAGUCGAGCGAAUGGAUUAAGAGCUUGCUCUUAUGAAGUUAGCGGCGGACGGGUGAGUAACACGUGGGUAACCUGCCCAUAAGACUGGGAUAACUCCGGGAAACCGGGGCUAAUACCGGAUAAUAUUUUGAACUGCAUGGUUCAAAAUUGAAAGGCGGCUUCGGCUGUCACUUAUGGAUGGACCCGCGUCGCAUUAGCUAGUUGGUGAGGUAACGGCUCACCAAGGCAACGAUGCGUAGCCGACCUGAGAGGGUGAUCGGCCACACUGGGACUGAGACACGGCCCAGACUCCUACGGGAGGCAGCAGUAGGGAAUCUUCCGCAAUGGACGAAAGUCUGACGGAGCAACGCCGCGUGAGUGAUGAAGGCUUUCGGGUCGUAAAACUCUGUUGUUAGGGAAGAACAAGUGCUAGUUGAAUAAGCUGGCACCUUGACGGUACCUAACCAAAAAGCCCCGGCUAACUUCGUGCCAGCCGCCGCAGUAA